rnacentral:misc_RNA from 1 species
UGAGAAUUUAGCUGAUUUAUGCUUGAAAAAUGCCCCUCCCUAUCACAAGUGGUAUUUUGAAACAUUGGGUAAAAAGAUUUUUGGGUUCUUGAUGAAAGAUGGGUAUAUUUAUUUUGCUAUUGCUGAUGAAGUUAUUGGCAAUCAAGCUCUUCUCCAGUUUCUAGAGCAGUUGAGAGAUGAAUUCAAAAGGGUAGCAAAGAAGG